AUGGUGAUGGGUGCUGAUAGCAAUCUCCGGGUCCUAGACGCCGGCGUGGUCAGGCCGUCCAACCUCCACCUCCCGCCGCGCUCACUCCCACUCACUUUCUUUGACGUCAAAUGGCUCCGCCCGCCGCCUGUCCAGCGCCUCUACCUCUACCGCCUCCACCACCACCAAGACACCACCCACCUAAUCUCUGACCUCAAGGUCUCGCUCUCCAAGGCCCUCACCCUCUUCUACCCGCUGGCCGGCCAUGUCCGCCUCACCCCUGGCGCUCCCAACAGCAACCGCUACGAGCUCUUCUACCAGCCGGGCGACGGUGUCUCCUUCACCGUCGCCGAGUACGACACCGACAUCGACGACCUUGCCCAGGACGACCCCGUCCAGGUGGCCAAGCUCGCGCCUCUGGUGCCACCGCUGCCCAAAGGCCGUGCCGUGCUCGCCGUGCAGGCCACGGUGCUAUCCGGGGGGCAGGGCCUCGCUCUCGGUGUCACCGUGCAUCACACCGCCUGCGACGGUGCCAGCUCCACGCACUUCAUGGACACCUGGGCUGCGGCCUGCGCUGGCGCCGACAUGCCGCCAACUCCCGUCAUUGACCGCACGCUCAUCGCCGACCCCAGAGGUCUAUACGACAUCUACUGCAAAGGACUGCCGAGCGACGACGAGAUCGAGUUCGUGAGCAGCAGUGUGUCCUCUAUCCCGGACGACCAGCUCCUCGCCACAUUCACGCUGCCUCAGGAGCUCCUACACGGCGUCAAGAAUAUGCUUGCCGAUGAGGCUGCCAAGCAGGGCGCGCCAUCUCCCAGAUGCUCGUCGCUGCUCGCCGCCUUCAGUUUAAUGUGGUCCUGCUACUGCCGAGCCAAAGAGGAACAAAACCAAACAAAAACAACCUACUUCCUCUUCUCUGUGGAUCACCGAGCGCGGUUGAAGCCGCCCGUCCCUGACAGGUACCUAGGGAACUGCCUAGGUCCGGCAAUCGCUGCCGCGCGCCAUGACGAGAUUGCGGCUACCGGCAAGGGAGGCCUCUUGGUGGCAUUCAUGGCAUUGUCCGACGCCCUCCAGGAAGAAGUGGGCGAGAGUUCACAGGACAGGUGGGACGGGUGUGUUGAGCGGGUGAAGGAGGCGGUCAAAUCUGGUGUCCUCUCCGUCGCUGAUUCACCAAGGUUCCGCGUGUACAACCUCGAUUUCGGGUUCGGGAAGCCGGUGAAGGUGGAUGUGGUGUCCGUGGCAAAAACCUCCGCAAUAUCGGUGGAGGAGGCACGCAACCACGGUGGCGGCAUCGAGGUAGGGAUCUCAUUGCCGACAAGCAGCAUGGAGAGUUUUCAGCGGUGUUUUGCCGAUGCCAUGCAAGAGCUAGCGGGUCUAUAG
rnacentral:rRNA from 1 species